rnacentral:tRNA from 1 species
GCCCGGGUGGUGGAAUGGUAGACACGGAGGACUCAAAAUCCUCUGCUCACAAGGCGUGCGGGUUCGAGUCCCGCCCCGGGUA